rnacentral:sRNA from 1 species
GCCAGGUGUGGUGGCGCACACCUGUAAUCCCAGCAGCUUGGGAGGCUGAGGCAAGAGGACUAUCCGUUCAAAGCCAGCCUCAGCAAAAAAGCGAGGCACCAAGCAAUUCAGUAAGACCCUGUCUCAA